rnacentral:rRNA from 1 species
GGGUUUUUAUCAGUUAUGCCACCGGUUGUGUCCCACUACUCAGUUUUGCCACUAGAAAUUUCAACUGCUCAAAAAUGCCAUCGCUUCAUUAGACACAUGCUCAAAAAUGCCACUAAACACCAUUAUUGUGAUCUCAAAUCUCUGUUGCCAUGUUAUAAUGACAUAAAUACCUAUGAACCAACAUGCCAGCUCUCCCUCUAUCUCACUACAAUAAAGUAUGGGGCCCACUUGAUCCCAACAGCGUUCUUAUUUUCCCGUAAAAUUAUUUGCUUGGUUAUUCCUGACAAGUGGGGCCACACGUAUCAUUGUGAGAUAGAGAGAACUGACAUGUGGGUCUAGGCUUAUUUUUGUCAUAGAACAUGGUCAACGGGUUUGACGUAAAAAUAACAAUGUCUAAUGGCAUUUUUGAGCAAACAUCUAACAGAACGAUGGGAUUUUUUAGAUAUCUAAUGGCAUUUUUGAGCAAGCAUCUCAUGGAUUGAUGGCAUUUUUGAGCAGUUG